rnacentral:rRNA from 1 species
UACGAACUGUGCGAACGUUAUUCGGAAUCACUGGGCUUACAGGGUGCGUAGGCGGCUUCUCAAGUCAGGUGUGAAAUCCCACAGCUCAACUGUGGAAUGGCGCUUGAAACUGGGAAGCUGGAGUCAGCUAGAGGUCCGCGGAACUUCCGGUGGAGCGGUGAAAUGUGUUGAUAUCGGAAGGAACACCAGAGGCGAAAGCGGCGGACUGGGGCUGUACUGACGCUGAGGCACGAAAGCCAGGGGAGCGAACGGG